rnacentral:lncRNA from 1 species
UUUAUAGGGAUAGAAGGGGGGCUAAAUGAUUAAAAGGAUAACAAAAUUUUAUCUAUAGCCAAUAGGUAACUGAAUUAAUUAAUAAAAAACAUUUAUUAUAUUUUCUUGUUUAUUUGUUGGGCAAAUCCAAUGAAUCUAUUUUCUCAUAUAUCAUCCUAAAUAGGUAAAUAUAGUGCGUAGCACUAUAUAGUUGGUUAGAUUUUUUUAAAUACGGUCAACUACUUUCUCAAAUAAAAAUCUAAAUUUGAAAAAUUAUAAAUUACUUAUCCAAAUAAAAAAUAUUACUUUCUCAUCCUGUCAACUAAUAGCAGAACAUAA